rnacentral:rRNA from 1 species
GGGUUGUGAGGUUAAGCGACUAAGCGUACACGGUGGAUGCCCUGGCAGUCAGAGGCGAUGAAGGACGUGCUAAUCUGCGAUAAGCGUCGGUGAGGUGAUAUGAACCGUUAUAACCGGCGAUUUCCGAAUGGGGAAACCCAGUGUGUUUCGACACACUAUCAUUAACUGAAUCCAUAGGUUAAUGAGGCGAACCGGGGGAACUGAAACAUCUAAGUACCCCGAGGAAAAGAAAUCAACCGAGAUUCCCCCAGUAGCGGCGAGCGAACGGGGAGGAGCCCAGAGCCUGAAUCAGUGUGUGUGUUAGUGGAAGCGUCUGGAAAGGCGUGCGAUACAGGGUGACAGCCCCGUACACAAAAAUGCACAUAUUGUGAGCUCGAUGAGUAGGGCGGGACACGUGGUAUCCUGUCUGAAUAUGGGGGGACCAUCCUCCAAGGCUAAAUACUCCUGACUGACCGAUAGUGAACCAGUACCGUGAGGGAAAGGCGAAAAGAACCCCGGCGAGGGGAGUGAAAAAGAACCUGAAACCGUGUACGUACAAGCAGUGGGAGCCUCUUAAUGGGGUGACUGCGUACCUUUUGUAUAAUGGGUCAGCGACUUAUAUUCUGUAGCAAGGUUAACCGAAUAGGGGAGCCGAAGGGAAACCGAGUCUUAACUGGGCGUUAAGUUGCAGGGUAUAGACCCGAAACCCGGUGAUCUAGCCAUGGGCAGGUUGAAGGUUGGGUAACACUAACUGGAGGACCGAACCGACUAAUGUUGAAAAAUUAGCGGAUGACUUGUGGCUGGGGGUGAAAGGCCAAUCAAACCGGGAGAUAGCUGGUUCUCCCCGAAAGCUAUUUAGGUAGCGCCUCGUGAAUUCAUCUCCGGGGGUAGAGCACUGUUUCGGCAAGGGGGUCAUCCCGACUUACCAACCCGAUGCAAACUGCGAAUACCGGAGAAUGUUAUCACGGGAGACACACGGCGGGUGCUAACGUCCGUCGUGAAGAGGGAAACAACCCAGACCGCCAGCUAAGGUCCCAAAGUCAUGGUUAAGUGGGAAACGAUGUGGGAAGGCCCAGACAGCCAGGAUGUUGGCUUAGAAGCAGCCAUCAUUUAAAGAAAGCGUAAUAGCUCACUGGUCGAGUCGGCCUGCGCGGAAGAUGUAACGGGGCUAAACCAUGCACCGAAGCUGCGGCAGCGACACUAUGUGUUGUUGGGUAGGGGAGCGUUCUGUAAGCCUGUGAAGGUGGCCUGUGAGGGGUGCUGGAGGUAUCAGAAGUGCGAAUGCUGACAUAAGUAACGAUAAAGCGGGUGAAAAGCCCGCUCGCCGGAAGACCAAGGGUUCCUGUCCAACGUUAAUCGGGGCAGGGUGAGUCGACUCCUAAGGCGAGGCCGAAAGGCGUAGUCGAUGGGAAACAGGUUAAUAUUCCUGUACUUGGUGUUACUGCGAAGGGGGGACGGAGAAGGCUAUGUUGGCCGGGCGACGGUUGUCCCGGUUUAAGCGUGUAGGCUGGUUUUCCAGGCAAAUCCGGAAAACCAAGGCUGAGGCGUGAUGA